AAAAACGCGAGGAAAGACGACGACCUCUAUAUAAUACUCGAUUGAUUACUGCUAUUUAUGAAGUCACAUGUAGAAAUCGACAUUUUGAAAAACCCACUCGCUCUGAGUUCCAAACUUAUAUGAAAGAGGCACUUUGUACGGCAAAAGAAAGAUAUCGCAACAGAAUACGUGGUUCACGUAUGCGUGUGCGAGCAGCAAGGCGAGAUCGAGAUUAUUGGAACGACGAAAGAGAGGACAAUCUAAUUGAAUCCAAUAACUGAAAAAUGUGAUAGAUUUUUUUAUAUAUUAUGCAUUUUUGUUGGCGUUUGUAAUGAAAAAUAUGUACAUACCCAGACAAUGCGAAGUCCAAAAUUAGGACGUAAGACGUCUUUUAACGUCUUAGAGUCGGUUGUUUUAAGUUCUUGGUAAGAUAACUGAGCAAAUACCUAUUGCUCCAGUUUUUCGUCAUAGCAGCAAAGAAAUAUUAAUUGCCUCAGUUUUAUAAUCAACAACUAUAGAAAGACUAAUUGCUCCACAGCAAAAGUACAAUUAAUUAUUUCACUUUUAUCGCCACAGUAACUGUAGAGACACUAAUUAUUUUACUUUUAUCGCCACAACAAUAGAUAUAAAAGUAUAACAAUUGAAAAAAACGUUUGAAAAACUGAUGCCUGGAGUGAAUAUACGUCAUAGCCAAUCACAUAUUACUUGGGAUAUUUUAACCAAUCUAAGAACUUUAUUUUGGCGAUAUUUUAUUAGCACUAUAGAUCAGCAAUGCGUGCGCAAUUUUGUAUAUGCAUACACAUGACUGGUAAAAAAUGGAGUAAGACUAAUUUUUCCUGCAUAAGUAAUACGAAAGACAGAAAGAAGAUCCAAUAGCCUCGAGAUAUAGUUUUGUCUUUUAACUUUAUCAUUAUCAUUUAUUCUAUCAAAGGAAUUAAAAAUGGCCUCGAUUCGAAUAUUACAUAUUUCGGAAAUUUUGCAAAGAUGACAAAGAUUAUCGCAUGUAUAAGCAAUGGAACGGUGUGAUAGUGCGGAAUACACGAACGAAACAUCAUUUCUCUACAGAGUAUAACUUGCACAAAUAUUUAAUCGAAUUUUUAAUACGACUUAUUUGUGAAUGUAUAUUACGGAGAUUAUAAUAUUUUUUCAGAUGCACAAAAUGUGUGUUCUGUCAGUUACAUUUGUUAAAAAUACAUAUUCCUCUGAUAUGUGAUACGAAGAAUUCAACAUUUUUUGUAAAUAAAUCUGCAGAUGAAUUAUAGAAAGCUAUGACGACUGUUAGUGAUGCAGGAAGACAUAGAGGUAGAGUGAAAGAAUUAGCAA